rnacentral:rRNA from 1 species
UGGGGAAUAUUGGGCAAUGGGGGAAACCCUGACCCAGCAACGCCGCGUGAAGGAAGAAGGCUUUCGGGUUGUAAACUUCUUUUACCAGGGACGAAGGACGUGACGGUACCUGGAGAAAAAGCCACGGCUAACUACGUGCCAGCAGCCGCGGUAAUACGUAGGUGGCAAGCGUUGUCCGGAUUUACUGGGUGUAAAGGGCGUGUAGGCGGAGAAGCAAGUCAGAAGUGAAAUCCAUGGGCUUAACCCAUGAACUGCUUUUGAAACUGUUUCCCUUGAGUAUCGGAGAGGCAGGCGGAAUUCCUAGUGUAGCGGUGAAAUGCGUAGAUAUUAGGAGGAACACCAGUGGCGAAGGCGGCCUGCUGGACGACAACUGACGCUGAGGCGCGAAAGCGUGGGGAGCAAACAGG